rnacentral:ncRNA from 1 species
AUUCUGGGUGAUCCUGCCAGUAGUUAUAUGCUUGUCUCAAAGAUUAAGCCAUGCAUGUCUAAGUACACACGAAUUAAAAGUGAAACCGCAAAAGGCUCAUUAUAUCAAUUAUGGUUCCUUAGAUCGUUAACAAUUACUUGGAUAACUGUGGUAAUUCUAGAGCUAAUACAUGCAAUAAAAACACGGACCUUCUGGGACGACUCAUAUCCGAGGCCCUGUAAUUGGAAUGAGUACACUUUAAAUCCUUUAACAAGGACCAAUUGGAGGGCAAGUCUGGUGCCAGCAGCCGCGGUAACUCCAGCUCCAAUAGCGUAUAUUAAAGUUGUUGCGGUUAAAACGUUCGUAGUUGAACUUGUGCUUCAUACGGGUAGUACAACAUACAUUG